rnacentral:rRNA from 1 species
AAUACAUGCAAGUCGAGCGGACAGAUGGGAGCUUGCUCCCUGAUGUUAGCGGCGGACGGGUGAGUAACACGUGGGUAACCUGCCUGUAAGACUGGGAUAACUCCGGGAAACCGGGGCUAAUACCGGAUGCUUGUUUGAACCGCAUGGUUCAGACAUAAAAGGUGGCUUCGGCUACCACUUACAGAUGGACCCGCGGCGCAUUAGCUAGUUGGUGAGGUAACGGCUCACCAAGGCGACGAUGCGUAGCCGACCUGAGAGGGUGAUCGGCCACACUGGGACUGAGACACGGCCCAGACUCCUACGGGAGGCAGCAGUAGGGAAUCUUCCGCAAUGGACGAAAGUCUGACGGAGCAACGCCGCGUGAGUGAUGAAGGUUUUCGGAUCGUAAAGCUCUGUUGUUAGGGAAGAACAAGUGCCGUUCAAAUAGGGCGGCACCUUGACGGUACCUAACCAGAAAGCCACGGCUAACUACGUGCCAGCAGCCGCGGUAAUACGUAGGUGGCAAGCGUUGUCCGGAAUUAUUGGGCGUAAAGGGCUCGCAGGCGGUUUCUUAAGUCUGAUGUGAAAGCCCCCGGCUCAACCGGGGAGGGUCAUUGGAAACUGGGGAACUUGAGUGCAGAAGAGGAGAGUGGAAUUCCACGUGUAGCGGUGAAAUGCGUAGAGAUGUGGAGGAACACCAGUGGCGAAGGCGACUCUCUGGUCUGUAACUGACGCUGAGGAGCGAAAGCGUGGGGAGCGAACAGGAUUAGAUACCCUGGUAGUCCACGCCGUAAACGAUGAGUGCUAAGUGUUAGGGGGUUUCCGCCCCUUAGUGCUGCAGCUAACGCAUAAGC